GUGGGGAAUAUUGGGCAAUGGGGGAAACCCUGACCCAGCAACGCCGCGUGAAGGAAGAAGGUUUUCGGAUCGUAAACUUCUAUCCUUGGUGAAGAUAAUGACGGUAGCCAAGAAGGAAGCCCCGGCUAACUACGUGCCAGCAGCCGCGGUAAUACGUAGGGGGCAAGCGUUGUCCGGAAUGAUUGGGCGGAAAGGGCGCGUAGGCGGCCUGGUAAGUCUGGAGUGAAAGUCCUGCUUUUAAGGUGGGAAUUGCUUUGGAUACUGUCGGGCUUGAGUGCAGGAGAGGUAAGCGGAAUUCCCGGUGUAGCGGUGAAAUGCGUAGAGAUCGGGAGGAACACCAGUGGCGAAGGCGGCUUACUGGACUGUAACUGACGCUGAGGCGCGAAAGUGUGGGGAGCAAACAGGAUUAGAAACCCUAGUAGUCC
rnacentral:rRNA from 1 species